GUAUCAGUAGCUCAGGCUUUAAGAGCGUCGGUCUUGUAAACCGAAUGUCGGAGGUUACAAUCCUCCCUUAUACA
rnacentral:tRNA from 1 species